CCCGCACAAGCGGUGGAGGAUGUGGUUUAAUUCGAUGCAACGCGAAGAACCUUACCAAGGCUUGACAUCCUGCGAAUCUUUCAGAGAUGAGAGAGUGCCUUCGGGAGCGCAGAGACAGGUGGUGCAUGGCUGUCGUCAGCUCGUGUCGUGAGAUGUUGGGUUAAGUCCCGCAACGAGCGCAACCCUCGUUUUUAGUUGCCAUCAUUAAGUUGGGCACUCUAAAGAGACUGCCGUGGACAACACGGAGGAAGGUGGGGACGACGUCAAGUCAUCAUGCCCCUUACGUCUUGGGCUACACACGUCCUACAAUGCUACAGACAGAGGGCAGCAAGCGCGCGAGUGCAAGCAAAUCCCAUAAACUGUGGCUCAGUUCAGAUUGCAGGCUGCAACUCGCCUGCAUGAAGGCGGAAUCGCUAGUAAUCGCCGGUCAGCAUACGGCGGUGAAUACGUUCCCGGGCCUUGUACACACCGCCCGUCACACCAUGGGAGUUGGCCACGCCCGAAGUCGUUACUCUAACCGUUCGCGGAGGAGGGCGCCGAAGGCAGGGCUGAUGACUGGGGUGAAGUCGUAACAAGGUAGCC
rnacentral:rRNA from 1 species